GAUGACGACGUUAGCAAGGUUACCCUUCCGGCUUGGCCUGGGCAGGGUUAUGGACGCCGCUGGUUAUCUUCAGGACUCUUAGUCCAAUUUGUAUCUUGUCCGUACUCAGACAUAUUUGAUCUUUUGUAUCAUUCGGAUCUUUGUAUUGUAUAUUUGAAUCUUGACUCGUUGGAGUCGUUGUUGUAAUAUAUGUUUCUUGUGGGCUCUAUUGUAAUCCUGUUGUAAUGUUACCGCUCGUGUUAAUUCCUCUGGCAUCACGUGUGUGAUUCGUCGCGCACGUCGUGUCGGAGGGCGUCUCUGAAUCGAUAUCAUGCGAAUUUCGGCGGGAUCGCUGGAAUCCUCAUGGUACCGGUUCCGGGGCGUCACAAGUUGGUAUCAGAGCCCAGGUUGACGGUACCCCACUAGUCCAGCCUGUAGGAUAACCUUGCCAACGGACGUUGUUGUGUCUAGUGAAAAAAAAACUAUUUUCUGAAAACUCGUUGGAUAGAUCUGAUUAGCUCUAUUUUUCUUCUUAUCUAAAUUCUUUCUCCUCUUAUCUUUGCGAUUCUUGAGUCUUCUCUCUUAUCUGAGUCUGUGAGUCUUAGGUUCCGACGUGGGUUGGACGAUCCUUGCCUUAUCCUAAUAGAUUCGAUCUUCGGAGGAUCCGACAGAAGUGCAUCAUCAACAACGGAAGAACGACUUCUUGUUAGUGGUGUCGCCAAUCCACGUGGAGCAACAACUCUUGUUAGUGGUGUCGAGGAGAUCGACACAUCGCCUGAAGACCGAUAGUUCACCUCUCUCCCCCGUACCUUGAGGUGGAACCUCGGGGCGAGGUUCCUUGUUAGUGGUGUCGAUUGUAACGGCCCCGGAUAUACCCCGAUUAGAUUUGCUUGUUGUUUUUCUUUUAUGCAUCAUCAUGCAUCAUGCAUCAUAUCAUCCAUGCUUUUAAUUAAAUAAAACUAUUUUAUAAACCCUCCCUUACCUUUCAUUUUAGAUAAAAUCCAUAUCUCUCUCUCAUAUUCUUAUUUUAUAACUAAGUCUUCUCAACAAAGAAAUGUUUGAAUUUUAAAAGUGUUUUGUUUUGUUUACAAAUAAGAUAAAUAUGUUGAAAACUAAAGUUGAAAUCUCAUUCUCAUCCUUGUUUCAGUUCAAAAUAGAAUUGGGUUUGACUUAAAAUGUUUAGAAAAUAAACCAGAAAAAUAAAAGAACAAAACCCCUACCCCAUGGGCCUCUCUCCCUUUCUCUGGCCCGCAGCCUUCCUCUCUUCCUUUUCCCCUCAGCCCGAGCUGGCAGCCCAACUCUCCUCUUCCGACCCAGCCCACCACGAGGCUCGUACCUCUUCGAGCCUGUUCUUUUUAGCGUUGUCGUCUUCCCCAGAGAGCGAGCAUGAGGGGCGCGUGAGCCCUGUGGUCCUCCAUCGCCAACCACCGCGCCUCCCUCCUCCCCUUUUAAUCCCACCUCGAGAUCUCCGCAGAAACCCUAGCCACCAACUCACCAUCUCCCUCCUCCUCCUACCGCCGCCGCCAUCUUCCCCACCUUCUUUUUCCUCUCUUCUCUGUGAGCACCACCGUGCCUUCCCCUCCAUGGCGCCAUCGCUAUAGACCAUCCGCCGUCGUUCUGAGGGCACCGGGAGAUGCGCCUCUUCCUCCUCUUCAACCUGGUUCAAGGAAUUGAGCCAGGGCGUUCUGAAUCAAGCGCACGGUCGCCGAUUCUCCAGUCCGUCCAUCGCACUCCGGCGUCAAUUCCGGCCGCCCUCGUCCUCCUCCGUCCAAACCGAGCACACCCCUGGUUUCCCCGUGUUCAGGGGCACCCCCGACGCCCCGCGCUCGUUCCGGUUCGCUCCGAAUCGUGAGAUCCGUGGUCGACCUGAUUUCUGUCCGCCAUGGUUGUCUUGGUCACGAGCUCUGCCUCGCCUACUUCAUAAGUUCGUGCGACCCAUCCUGUUCAGCAUCAACACCAGCAGCACACUGAUCUUGCGUCCAGAGAUGAUUUAGUUCGUGCAUGACCUUCAGAAUCGACAACAGCAUCCCAGCUUGUUUGAACCAAUACCUGGGCCGUGACCCAGCUCCUCCGUCGCCGCUCGCAGGCCAGAACCGGUCCGGCCCACGCGCGCUAGACCUUCCUCCCGCCGGCCAGCAUUUGCUUCUUCCCGGAUAGGAUGGCGAAGUGGUGUUGUGAGAUACGACAAGUUCUUCUGCAGCUUUUCACAGGC